rnacentral:rRNA from 1 species
AGAGUUUGAUCCUGGCUCAGAUUGUAACGCUGGCGGCAGGCCUAACACAUGCAAGUCGAACGGUAACAUUUCUAGCUUGCUAGAAGAUGACGAGUGGCGGACGGGUGAGUAAUGCUUGGGAACUUGCCUUUGCGAGGGGGAUAACAGUUGGAAACGACUGCUAAUACCGCAUAAUGUCUUCGGACCAAACGGGGCUUCGGCUCCGGCGCAAAGAGAGGCCCAAGUGAGAUUAGCUAGUUGGUAAGGUAACGGCUUACCAAGGCGACGAUCUCUAGCUGUUCUGAGAGGAAGAUCAGCCACACUGGGACUGAGACACGGCCCAGACUCCUACGGGAGGCAGCAGUGGGGAAUAUUGCACAAUGGGGGAAACCCUGAUGCAGCCAUGCCGCGUGUGUGAAGAAGGCCUUCGGGUUGUAAAGCACUUUCAGUUGUGAGGAAAAGUUAGUAGUUAAUACCUGCUAGCCGUGACGUUAACAACAGAAGAAGCACCGGCUAACUCCGUGCCAGCAGCCGCGGUAAUACGGAGGGUGCGAGCGUUAAUCGGAAUUACUGGGCGUAAAGCGCACGCAGGCGGUUUGUUAAGCUAGAUGUGAAAGCCCCGGGCUCAACCUGGGAUGGUCAUUUAGAACUGGCAGACUAGAGUCUUGGAGAGGGGAGUGGAAUUCCAGGUGUAGCGGUGAAAUGCGUAGAUAUCUGGAGGAACAUCAGUGGCGAAGGCGACUCCCUGGCCAAAGACUGACGCUCAUGUGCGAAAGUGUGGGUAGCGAACAGGAUUAGAUACCCUGGUAGUCCACACCGUAAACGCUGUCUACUAGCUGUGUG